rnacentral:rRNA from 1 species
CCUACGGGGGGCUGCAGUGGGGAAUAUUGGACAAUGGGCGCAAGCCUGAUCCAGCAAUGCCGCGUGUGUGAAGAAGGCCUGCGGGUUGUAAAGCACUUUCAGUGGGGAGGAAGGCCUCGAUAUUAAUACUAUUGAGGAUUGACGUUACCCACAGAAGAAGCACCGGCUAACUCUGUGCCAGCAGCCGCGGUAAUACAGAGGGUGCAAGCGUUAAUCAAAGUGACUGGGCGUGGAUUCUGAAGACGUAUGUGAAAGCCCCGGGCUCAACCUGGGAAGUGCAUUUGAUACUGAGUAACUUGAGUAUGGUAGAGGGAAGUGGAAUUUCCAGUGUAGCGGUGAAAUGCGUAGAUAUUGGAAGGAACAUCAGUGGCGAAGGCGACUUCCUGGACCAUUACUGACACUGAGGCACGAAAGCGUGGGGAGCGAACAGGAUUAGAUACCCUAGUAGUC